AGAAUCAACGCUGGCGGCGUGCCUAACACAUGCAAGUCGCACGAGAAAGUGGAGCAAUCCAUGAGUAAAGUGGCGCACGGGUGAGUAACACGUGAAUCAUCUACCUCCGAGUGGGGAAUAACCUAGAGAAAUCUGGGCUAAUACCGCAUAACACUUACGAGUCAAAGCAGCAAUGCGCUUGGAGAGGAGUUCGCGGCCGAUUAGUUAGUUGGCGGGGUAAUGGCCCACCAAGACGAUGAUCGGUAUCCGGCCUGAGAGGGCGCACGGACACACUGGAACUGAAACACGGUCCAGACUCCUACGGGAGGCAGCAGUGGGGAAUUUUGCGCAAUGGGGGAAACCCUGACGCAGCAACGCCGCGUGGAGGAUGAAAUAUCUUGGUAUGUAAACUCCUUUCGAUGGGGAAGAUUAUGACGGUACCCAUAGAAGAAGCCCCGGCUAACUUCGUGCCAGCAGCCGC
rnacentral:rRNA from 1 species